rnacentral:rRNA from 2 species
UAGGGUGACUAUAGCUGCAGGGCUCACCUCUUCCCAUUCCGAACAGAGAAGUUAAGCCUGCCUGCGCCGAUGGUACUG